UGGCGAACGGGUGAGUAACGCGUGAGGAACCUGCCUCAAAGAGGGGGACAACAGUUGGAAACGACUGCUAAUACCGCAUAAGCCCACGGGUCGGCAUCGACCAGAGGGAAAAGGAGCAAUCCGCUUUGAGAUGGCCUCGCGUCCGAUUAGCUAGUUGGUGAGGUAACGCCCACCAAGGCGACGAUCGGUAGCCGGACUGAGAGGUUGAACGGCCACAUUGGGACUGAGACACGGCCCAG
rnacentral:rRNA from 1 species